rnacentral:tRNA from 1 species
GCGGAUGUAGUUCAGUCAGGUAGAACGCUAUCCUUCCAAGUUAGAUGUCGUCGGUUCGAUUCCGAUCAUCCGCU